GACGUUAGCGGCGAACGGGUGAGUAACACGUAAGGAAUCUACCUAUAAGCGGGGGAUAACAUUCGGAAACGGGUGCUAAUACCGCAUAAUAUCUUCUUCCGCAUGGAAGAAGAUUGAAAGACGGCUCUGCUGUCACUUAUAGAUGACCUUGCGGUGCAUUAGUUAGUUGGUGGGGUAACGGCCUACCAAGACGAUGAUGCAUAGCCGACCUGAGAGGGUGAUCGGCCACAUUGGGACUGAGACACGGCCCAAACUCCUACGGGAGGCAGCAGUAGGGAAUCUUCCGCAAUGGGCGAAAGCCUGACGGAGCAAUGCCGCGUGAGUGAAGAAGGCCUUCGGGUCGUAAAACUCUGUUAUAAGAGAAGAACAAAUUGUAGAGUAACUGCUACAGUCUUGACGGUAUCUUAUCAGAAAGCCACGGCUAACUACGUGCCAGCAGCCGCGGUAAUACGUAGGUGGCAAGCGUUGUCCGGAUUUAUUGGGCGUAAAGGGAGCGCAGGUGGUUUCUUAAGUCUGAUGUGAAAGCCCACGGCUUAACCGUGGAGGGUCAUUGGAAACUGGGAAACUUGAGUACAGAAGAGGAAUGUGGAACUCCAUGUGUAGCGGUGGAAUGCGUAGAUAUAUGGAAGAACACCAGUGGCGAAGGCGACAUUCUGGUCUGUUACUGACACUGAGGCUCGAAAGCGUGGGGAGCAAACAGGAUUAGAUACCCUGGUAGUCCACGCCGUANACGAUGAGUGCUAGGUGUUGGAGGGUUUCCGCCCUUCAGUGCCGCAGUUAACGCAUUAAGCACUCCGCCUGGNGAGUACGACCGCAAGGUUGAAACUCANAGGAAUUGACGGGGACCCGC
rnacentral:rRNA from 1 species